CUUCGCUACAGAGUUUGAAAGCUGAAGCUGAGCCAGUGUUUGACUGGCAUUUCACCUGCGGAGAAACCAAGAGUGCGUCCGGUUUCUUCCACACGGAAUGGCCUGCUAGGACUAUCUCGGGAAAGCUAGGUGGUUGAAAGCCCU